AUUCACGACAAAAAUCGGUGUAGAUUUUUUUAAUUUUACAGCCCUGAUCAAUGAAAGCGCAGCCAACUUUAGUCACGUCGCUGUCACGAAUUGCAAUUUUUAUAUCAAAAAAAAAAGGUUUAAUCACUAUAUCAUAGACCUGUACGGUGUCAAAUCGUAAAUAAGUGGACAACGAA